UUCCCACCAGCCUCACAUGACCGCCUUGUUCAGGUGAUCCUCGCACUCCCCUAGCUCGUGCUGGGCCUCCCCGGUCACGUGGGGCCGGAGCCCGGGGAAGGAGGGGAGAGGUCCUGCCUUGCGUGGGCCGCCCUGGUGGCCCGCCCGAGGCGAAGCCGGGGGCACCUGGGCGCCGCCCGAGUCCCGAUCGGGCGGGAGGAUGGAGGAACGGCGUGGCCCCCGCUCCUGUGGCCUCCCAGGAUGGCUCGCGGCGGGCCUCCCAGGAUGCCUCAGGACGCCGCACGGAGGGGCUUCCGUGGCCCAGGCUUAGAAGCCAAAGCUAGCCCUGCUUGUAAUCGCCCGGCCCCGGGAAGUCGCAGAUCGCGUGGGGGGGGUUAGCCCCUACGUCCCGGGGAUGCUGUAAGGAUGCGAUGAGGUUUUCUUGGCAAAGAUAGUGUUUGCCAUUUCCUUUUUCAGCUCAUUUUACAGAUGAAGAAAUUGAGGCAAACAAGGCUUGUGUUUAUCCUGGAAACCUGGCCAGUUGCUUGAGUAAGCACAGCCCUCCUUAAAAAAUGAAAAAUAUUCUCCUUGGCCAGCCUCUUGUGAUGGAACAUCCUGUACCUGGGAGGCUGCUAUGUCUCAAGAGUCAAGUAUCAAAUGAGAAUACUCAGCGUGAUGUCUUCUUGGUUCUCAGCCUAUAAAAAUCCCUUGGUGGAAAGGGACUUGGAGAAUUUACCAAGGAAGUUCUUGCCUAGGAAUGCCUCCCACAAUUCUGUAUAGCUGCACUAUGGAUUCUCCCAGCUGAGGAAUUCAGGUGUUGGUGCUUCCUUGCAGUGAUGAUGUAUGUUGUAUGUUGCUUAUUUGUGUUUGCAAUAGUGUCUUUAUGGUAGCCACAGUGUUUAUUAAUUGUGUAUUAUUUGUAUGCUAUGAGAUUCCUCCUCUAUUUUGUCUUAUUUAAAUCAAGGUUCUGAGCAGUAAUAAACUUGUACCCACUCUCUUUAAGACUGUGCCUGUUGAAUAUGAAUUCUGAACUUAGAUUAAUCUUAGUGAGGCUGACAACUUUGCAUAACUCUGCUUUUUUAAAUCCAAUUCAUGUAUGAGUCAAGACAUCACCCAUGAUGUCAUUGGUUCUUUUUAAACAAAGGAUAAGCCGAAAUAGCCUCCAUUUCACAGCUAAACUCCCAGAAAAAAAAAAUUGUCUAUACUCUCUCAGCUCCCACUGACUUCUUAGUCUCUUUCUCACUUCCCACUGACUCCUCAAAUGUAUUGCAAACUGGUUUCCCUAUCUAUCCAUCACUCAACUCAAACUAUUCUCUUUAAGUUCACCAAUGAUCUUCUUGUUGCUAAAUCUAAGGAAAUUUUCUCAGUCUUCAUAAUUCUGUGAGAAUACUAUCCAUGCCCUAUUUCCUUAUAUUUAUGUAUGGCCCAAAACCCUAUCUAGAGUCUUCUCACUCUAGAUUUUUUUCUUGAUGACCUCAUCAACUACCCUGAGACCAAUUUCUCCGCAGACUCUCAAAUUAAUAUAGAGCUAACCUUUUAUUUCUCUCUAAAGUUCAAAAACCUACAUCAUCAACUCUGUUGAAUACCUCCACCUGAAUAUCCCA
ensembl:lncRNA